CUCAUCCAGCAACCUUGGUCUCUCUCUUUCUCCCUCAUCCAGCAAACCGUGGUCUCUCUCUCUCCCUCAUCCAGCAACCUUGGUCUCUCUCUCCCUCUCCAAAUCCCCCCUCACUCACUUUCUGUCCUGUUCUCUUCCUCUUUGUCUCCUACUUAUUGAAGGACUGUCUUUUUUCUUGUUUAUAUCUUUGGGUGUCUUUCUGACGUACCAACCUGUUCUUUUGUUCCUACACAUACGCAGAGAGCACUAAAAUAGCCUCCGUUUGUCUUUAACUAUGUGUGUUUGUGUCCCCAUCAGUGCUUUGUGUGUAUGGGUGUGUGUAUGGGUGUGUGAAUGCGUGUGUGUAUGCGUGUGUGUAUGGGUGUGUGUAUGGGUGUGUGUAUGCGUGUGUGUAUGGGUGUGUGUAUGGGUGUGCGCGCGUUCGUGCAUGCUAUAAUAUUGUAUGUGAGAGCAUGUGUGUGUACAUUGUGCUUGUGUUUUUCUGUGUCAGUCCCUGACCCCAACAGGAGUCCUGGCGGUGAGAACAGGGAUUCUAGCCAAUGCUCCUGCCUCCCUUUGGUCUCCGUGUCCUACAACAGUCAGAUGAGCAGAGCGGAGGAACAGAGGCAGGCUUCCACGGAGACCUGACAGGUGUGUUGCGUGUAUGUAUUUACUGCUCAGCCUGUUAAAUUGGCGUCUCACAGACCCGGCGUCCCUCAGAUCCUGAGUCGAUGAGAGAGAGCUCUGCCUGCUCUGAGCCUUCCAUCUCACUCUCACUUCAAAUUUCCAUUUUAGUCAUUUAACAGAUGCUCUUAUCCUCAGUGACUUACAGUAGUGACUGCAUUAUGUUUUCGUACUUGUUCAUUCUCAUUCUGUCCCCUGUGGGAAUUGAAACCACAACGCUGGCAUUGCAAGCACUAUUCUCUACCAACUAAGACAUAACAAGUUGUGAUAUGUAUAUUUAAUAAUAGAAAAUACCAUAAAAAUUCAUAUUGUAUGUUCUGUAAUGCCUAAUAUGUACAUGAAACGCGAGUUGCAUCAUCAUUUUUGAAAUGACCUCCACGACUGCGUCUCGUCUCAACGCCGCACAUCUACGGUGGUACUUUUUGAAAUGGGAGAAGACUGACUCAUUGAAAUGGUCCCUGUUCAUCCCAAGGCAUAUGCAUUUCAACCCAUUCGUUGCGGUGGUCCAAUCGCUGUUUCCGUUUAAACCAGGAAAUAUAGUUUUGCCCAUAGAGAUUAGUUAGCCCCAGAGGUGACAAAAUAGUUAACUAACCAGUUGUUUAAAAGCACUAAAGUAUAUCUCUGGCUGCUGCGAUUGAAUUAUACAGAUCCUGACGCAAUCCACAAUGCCCAUUUGCUGGCUACAAGACCACGCGUUUAUUCCGAAGUUGCAGCCAAUCUGAAAACAUUGUUUGCAUCCCAGAGGCAUUGAACUUUCUCUUCUAAUUCUCGUCAAUGAAGUGUGCACUGGAAAUCCAGAAUCCAGGGCAACAGAUGGACUUUGGCGCUUCGUAGCUACAAGCCAUUGUCCCGACACUGAUUGCCAUUGACCAUGGUCGUGACGCUCAAGAUGGCUGUGCCCUAUCGGUCAACUGGAAUGUGCACGUCAUUUUUAGUUACCACUGGCCGUUUUGGAUUUUGAGCUGUUGGAACAUGCUUCGUAAAAUCCCAUACUGCAUAAAUCAAUGCAGUUCCACUUUAACAACCCCACCAGCUCCUGACCUAUUUGUGGGAGGUGAUUGGUGAAUGGAAGGAACGGAUCCAGGGAAGAUAGGAGGAAGUGAGAUGGGAGGAGAGCACAGAGAGGUGUGUUGACGGGAAAGGGAGGAGCUCAGGGAAGAGAGGAGGAAGUGAGAUGGGAGGAGAGCACAGAGAGGUGUGUAGACGGGGAAGGGAGGGAGCUCAGGGAAGAGAGGAGGAAGUGAGAUGGGAGGAGAGCACAGAGAGGUGUGUAGACGGGGAAGGGAGGAGUCUCAGGGAAGAGAGGAGGAAGUGAGAUGGGAGGAGAGCACAGAGAGGUGUGUAGACGGGGAAGGGAGGAGCUCAGGGAAGAGAGGAGGAAGUGAGAUGGGAGGAGAGCACAGAGAGGUGUGUUGACGGGGAAGGGAGGAGCUCAGGGAAGAGAGGAGGAAGUGAGAUGGGAGGAGAGCACAGAGAGGUGUGUAGACGGGGAAGGGAGGAGUCUCAGGGAAGAGAGGAGGAAGUGAGAUGGGAGGAGAGCACAGAGAGGUGUGUAGACGGGGAAGGGAGGAGCUCAGGCAGUGGGUGGUGUUUUGAUCAGCGGCCAGAUUUCCAACCCUGCGUUUCAGUCUGCACAGAGGAGGUGGAGAAGAGAAGAGGGAGAUGGAGGGAGGAGAGGGCUGUUGAAUCCCAGGUGAACCCCCACUGACGCCAUUCCACCAUCAGCCCUCCAUUUGUGCAUUCAUGUGGGCUUCAGCCGUUUGCACAAGUGUCUCGAUCGCUGAUGGAGCAAAAAUGCUCAAGGGUGGCGAGGCUAAUUAGACCCUCCGCUGGCCCCUUUGAGCGAGUGUUCAACGAUGCAGCCUCUGGUAGCGAAGUGGAAUCCCAUAAGGCGCCGCAGUUUUUGGAGGUUGCAUAGUUUCACAGAAAAUAAAAGAUAGGCAUACCUAAUGAUAUUACGUGUGGAUUUGUUCAUGUCUGAUUUGGAGACUUGAGACAUACAAAACAAAAUACCUCCUAAAUUAAACAUUCAAUUAUUCACAGUUUCUUUUUGCCAAACCUCGGAAGUGGAGCAGGGCCAAGACGACCGACUACCCCUUGUUAAAUAGCGUAGUGGUUAGAGACGCGGCCUGCCAUGCAUCCUGGUCGAUGUUCGAGCCUCGCCGCAUGAAAAACAAAUGACACAUUAGGACUGGUUCAGGAUAGACAAAAAUGUCGCUGGCUACAAACUUCUGUAGUUACUUUAUAGUAUGCCUAAAAUAAAACUGUUUACGGUUAUAUUGCAACUAUUUCUGGUUCCGUGCAUUGUUUUUGGGUAAUAGCCUAUAGAUCACAACCCCUUGCGCAGUAAAAGAGGAGGGGUAUCUACGAUUCUCUCGUCUUUUCUCUUGACAAAAUAGUUAUCUUCACCUAUAUUGAUUGUUAUUAUAUCAAUGUAAUUCACGAAUGAUAGAAUAAUGAACGUUGUUGUGCCAUGAAAUGAAAUAGCUUUGGCAGUGUUCAUCUUCAGUCUCGCAAAAAAUUACUCAAUUCUUAUGACUAUUCCAAGUAGCAAAUAGAUACCAGUAGGCCUAUUACUGGCUAUUAAAAGCCAUACAUUUCAUAGAUACUAUUUGUGGUGGAAGUAAAUGUAAUAAGUUAAGUUAGUCAGUUUAACACAAUGAUUAAUGGUGUGUAGCUAAAUAUUCAAACUUGGCGUGAUGUUAAUGCGUGACCUUAUGUGUGCAAUUUUCUGACGAGGUAGUACUUCCCAGUCCGUCCCAAUACUGACAUACUAGCUAACUAUAUAAAAAACACGAUGUAUUUCACCACCAUCCGCGAAGUACGUACUUGUAAUAUGUAUGUAAUAUGUAAUAUGUAGUAUGUGAUUUGAGAUUCAGCCAAUGCUUUCAAUUUCCUUGUAGUUCACAUAGCGUAAUGGUUAGCUAUUCAACUGUUAUUGUAUGGAUGACCAUUAACAGUAAUCUUUGUACAAGAGGACACUUCAAUUCCGUUAACAAAUGUUUUGUUGUCCACGUUAUUUUAGCAAAAAUUUAAUGGCUGAGGUAAAAGUUACAUUCCUGCUGUUUAAAUAGCG
ensembl:lncRNA